rnacentral:rRNA from 1 species
UCGUCUAGCGACUGCGGAGGACAUUA